UAUCUUUGCCGACUUAUAAUACAUAAGAAUCAUUUCAAUAAUAUUGGCAUG
rnacentral:ncRNA from 1 species